CCAAAGGCAGUGUGGCAAGGGUAUAAAGCACCAUAGAAAGGGGAUCGCCCUGUGUAAUGCCCUCUUGCGAGGUCAACUCACCACCGACCGCCACAAACAGCCGCGCUGACUGACCGUAUGAAUUACGCAUAAUAAUCGCUAACGAUGGAACUAAUAGUCGAACAUUAUAGAAGUGCAGCAGCUCUGUCAAGGCUGUUUUAAAAAUGCAUUGUGCGCGGCCACUGGCAGAAUGCCUUCUGUAGACUGUUCAUCGUAGAUGGCCUGCAUUCGGUGAACUGCCGCCUCGAUUCUCGAAUCACACGACACAUGAUGCGAGGUCGCUGCAUGCAGUUUGUGUUGCGCAAUCUACAUUGUAGCUGCAGCCUGCACGUGUACAUAAGCUCCUGCCAUGUACUACUACUAGUUGCUAACUUUGGAUGCUAUUUUACACGGUGUACAUCAUGUGUAUUGCAUUGGUCGAUUUUCGAAGCGGCCUAGUAAACGUUUUUAUUUUUCGGUCAUUUUUUUAAUUUUUUUCCACCUCUUGCAUACGAUUUUAGAUUUUCGGUUGACGAGAAACAGAGAAGAAAUAAAAUGCGCGGCCUUAUAACUAACUACUUAUAAGAGUAAUCGGCUAUAGCAACCUUUCACACUCACUUGUAGCAUGUUUCGUGCCCUUCAAUUCUUUUGCUUGUACAAUUGGGAAAGGGUUUGCUCGAUCCCCACAUUGGAGCUCGCGCUAUUCUGCCGACUUGACUUGACACUUGACUGACUCACGACUGCCAUCUAGAGCACACGAGAACUAGAAGUCCACUGAACCUUCGACUCGACAAACCUGCAAGAAAGCACCACUCCCUGCUCAAAUACAAAGUGUUACGGGGAAUUCACCCCUCAUCAGUUGAACUUGAGUAGGCUGAGGAAGACUGUGCCUGAAGCCUGGAGGCUGUAGAGCAUCACUUAUACAUGUACUAAUGCUCUCCAGGUCCAAACAUCACCAGGGAUACAAACUUACGGAGACGCUCCGUUUCCAGCGCGAUAAACCAUGAUAAACACCUCGUGAACACGGCGUUACGUGGUCGUUGCAUUUCUCGCCUGCCGAGCGCGCUGCAGCGAGAUACUAUUAGUAUUACUACUAGUAUUAGGCGAGAAAUGAUUCCUCGUGCAACAUUUUCGGUUGCAAAUGUGGCAUCAGGUGUGUUCUUUCCCGUCGUUUCUUUUCCUGGCUUCUUCACUUCAGUCAGUUUUGAGUCUCAUGAUGCACCAGUGUGGACCGGUUUUUUCCAUCUCCGUAGGAUUUACCUUGAACGAACUCCUUUGUCGGGACUCGGGAUGCCUCAAACAUGAAACUCUUCUUCCUCACAACAAUCAUCGCCGGAGUCGCUCGGUUUCCAUGGCACCCAGUGCCAGCGCCGUGUUCUCCAAGGUCGUCACUUCACAACAACCGAAGUUCAACUACACACUACACAGUCUACAGACUGUACACUAUAACUGUCAAGUGCUCGCAGACCGGGUCCUCAUUCCUCAGACUGGUUUGGUUUGAUUUGGUUUGGUCUUUAUUAUUUCAGUUCGUAGACUCUUAGUCUUUAGACUUUAGUCAUUGGCUACGGUGUUUUCCGGAACAGAGUCACAAGUGAGUAGAGCCAAGUAAGUUGUAGUCUAGAGGCGCCGACUACUACUACUACUACAUGUAGAGAGCGCGCGCUAGUGACUUUUAAGUACUACAUUACAAGAUGGCGAGAUGCGUAUCAUGUCAGUUGUGAAAAAGUUGUGGACGCACGGUAAGUGUUGAACAUGGCGGAGUGGCCAGCGUGAACUCAACCUGGUUUACGUUGAGAAGCGGUAAGGUUAGGAGCCAGAUUCUCGCGAUUAGCUGCAGACUUCUAUCAACAUGUUCGUGUACCGGCGCCAUUGCAUAGGAGAUAAGCGGAGGGAUCAAGUUGCAGCGAGGACGGCAAAGAACUCGAUUAGCUGCAGACUUCUAUCAACAUGUUCGUGUACCGGCGCCAUUGUAUAGGAGAGAAGCGGAGGGAUCAAGUUGCAGCGAGGACGGCAAUGAGAAGCAAACGGCAAAGAACUCGAUUAGCUGCAGACUUCUAUCAACAUGUUCGUGUACCGGCGCCAUUGUAUAGGAGAGAAGCGGAGGGAUCAAGUUGCAGCGAGGACGGCAAUGAGAAGCAAACGGCAAAGAACUCGAUUAGCUGCAGACUUCUAUCAACAUGUUUGUGUACCAAGCUGGAAACUGGCCACCUCCACCCCCUCGUAUCAGUUCUCGUGCACACACGCCCGGCUCAUCGGAUUUAUUGGAGCUGCGCUCGCCUCCAUCCGUCCCUGCCUCACUCGGCACGCCUCGCCCCAAUGCAAUGUUUCUGCUGGUACCUUGCAAAGCCUGCAACAAUCAGCCGCCUUGACACGAUAACACUUCUCUGUCACGCGUUCGUUUCCUUUCAGUUUCUUUCUGUCUCUGACACGAUAAUACUCUUCUGUCAUGCGUACAUUUCCUCUUUUCCUUCUUUCUGCCUCCACCAUGCUCUCCACCUUUGUCACACCCCUCUGACACGUUAACCCCCCUCUGUCAUGCAUCUCUCUGUCCGCUUCCUGCUUUUGGUUCGGCCUUUGUUUCCACGUUAUUAACAAAUUUCAUGCUCGCUCUCGCUUGUACAUGCCGCGCUUCCUUUCUCUUCUCUUCUUUUUGUUUAUCGUGCUUCGCUCCUCCCGACCUCACCACUGGCGGGGGAUUGCUGUAGCGGCCUGACUCCCGACUGUUACGUCACGCUACAUGAUAAGCAUGCACAAAAAAUAAAAUCUUUCU